GACGAACGCUGGCGGCGUGCCUAAUACAUGCCAGUAGAACGCUGAAGCUUGGUGCUUGCACCGAGCGGAUGAGUUGCGAACGGGUGAGUAACGCGUAGGUAACCUGCCUGGUAGCGGGGGAUAACUAUUGGAAACGAUAGCUAAUACCGCAUAAGAGUAGAUGUUGCAUGACAUUUGCUUAAAAGGUGCAAUUGCAUCACUACCAGAUGGACCCGCGUUGUAUUAGCUAGUUGGCGAGGUAACGGCUCACCAAGGCAACGAUACAUAGCCGACCUGAGAGGGUGAUCGGCCACACUGGGACUGAGACACGGCCCAGACUCCUACGGGAGGCAGCAGUAGGGAAUCUUCGGCAAUGGACGGAAGUCUGACCGAGCAACGCCGCGUGAGUGAAGAAGGUUUUCGGAUCGUAAAGCUCUGUUGUAAGAGAAGAACGAGUGUGAGAGUGGAAAGUUCACACUGUGACGGUAUCUUACCAGAAAGGGACGGCUAACUACGUG
rnacentral:rRNA from 1 species